rnacentral:lncRNA from 10 species
CUGCUACAGGGGCUCCCAGCGGCCUCCCGCACCGAAGGGACCCUGGGCGUCUGAGGCCCUGAUCCGGGCGGGCCUUCAGGAUGUUAGCAGUCCCUGUCCGGUUGAAGGUAGGAAGCCGAAAACCCGAGUGGGGGACGAACAGACUUACCUCCUGUCCCGCAAAAGAUCCACUAGAUCGUCGUCUCCAAAACCUGAGAGACCGCGAACGGGUUCCAGAGCCGCAGCGUUCUCUCAGACCUGGCGUUCAGGAAGAUUCUAGAGAGCACGGGCAGGUCCCGGAGGUCUCAGACCCGCAGGCCUGCGGGGCGGGGGCGGGGUGGCGCCCAGGACGACUCCCCGGGCUCAGCUUGGCUGCCUGCCUCCUUCUCAAACAAUGAGUACCUACUGUGUGUAGAAGCAGCAGGACAGCCUGUCAUCACUGGGAAAGAGGCCAGAAGAGCCGUUUGGCCAGGGUCUCCAAUUUAGGCUUUCAACAUUAUCUCUAAAGAAGGUUAUACAUUAUGUCGGCUCCACUGGCUGAUGGGAUCAAAGACCCUCCUUGUAUAUCCUUAAACCUGUACUCUAUUACCAGGCCACUGUGCCUGUGGAGCACUGUAAGUUCCUACCUUUUAAUAAAUUUUAUAAUUAUCUUGUGAGCAGCACAAUUGUCAUAGUUUUUUGUAUCAGAAACAUUAAUUUGUUAAACAUUUUAA